rnacentral:rRNA from 1 species
UGGGGAAUAUUGCACAAUGGAGGGAACUCUGAUGCAGCAACGCCGCGUGCGGGAUGACGGCCUUCGGGUUGUAAACCGCUUUCAGCCAUGACGAAGCUUUUGUGACGGUAGUGGUAGAAGAAGCACCGGCUAACUACGUGCCAGCAGCCGCGGUGAUACGUAGGGUGCGAGCGUUGUCCGGAAUUAUUGGGCGUAAAGAGCUUGUAGGCGGUUUGUCGCGUCGAUAGUGUAAACACGCAGCUUAACUGUGUGCCUGCUGUCGAUACGGGCUGACUAGAGGAGGGUAGGGGAGAAUGGAAUUCCCGGUGGAGCGAUGGAAUGCGCAGAUAUCGGGAGGAACACCAGUGGCGAAGGCGGUUCUCUGGACCUUUCCUGACGCUGAGAAGCGAAAGCGUGGGUAGCAAACAGG